CAGCAAAUAGUUUAAUUUAAAAUUUAAUUUUUGGGGAAUUAGGAUAGUUUUUAUUUUUGUUGA
rnacentral:tRNA from 1 species